rnacentral:rRNA from 1 species
UAUUUUGGAGCGGUUAGUGGCGGACUGGUGAGUAACGCGUAAGCAAUCUGCCUAUUAGAGGGGAAUAACAGUGAGAAAUCACUGCUAAUACCGCAUAUGCCAUGAACAUCGCAUGAUGAAAAUGGGAAAGGAGUAAUCCGCUAAUAGAUGAGCUUGCGUCUGAUUAACUAGUUGGUGUGGUAAUGGCAUACCAAGGUAACGAUCAGUAGCCGGACUGAGAGGAAGGUCCCCACAUUGGAACUGAGACACGGUCCAAACUCC